rnacentral:lncRNA from 1 species
CCAGCCCGAGGAUAGAUAUAUAUUCAAUGGAGAAACAUAGACAAUAGUUUGUAGAAAAGAAGCUAACAUACGUUAAGGUGAAUAACUACUUGCCUAAGAAAUUAAAAUCCAUCAUGAAUACCAUAACUCAGAAGGAGACAGCCAAGGAACUGUGGAAUUCGUUGAAACCUCCUAGUAUCAGGGAAAAUGAACGUGUAAAAUGAGAACAAUUUCAACGUUUAAAAAGGGAUCUCGGUGAAGGAAACAAAGAGCAUCACAAGGUACUUCUCAACAGUGUCGCUUGCUCAACCGGUAUGAGAACUGUUGGAGAAGAAAUGCACGAUUCACUUAUUUUGGUGAAGAUUCUAAGACACUCUCAGAAAAGUGUACAUACAUCAUAUGUUCGACUGAAUUUUUCAAAAACAUACGGUUUUAGAUGAUGCUCUCCAAAUGUGGUACAGCCUUGAUUAUUUUUUCCUGGAUCAUUUGAAAAAGGUGGAUGAAGAUUGUCCUGGAGUCUACUUGCACUUUUUGUGUGGACGAUGUACUUCACCUUCAGUUUGAUCCCGGAAAACCUAAAAUAUAUUAACAAAGUAUUUUAUAUGCAUGGGGGAAUUCAUUAAAAAUUUAAAGAAAAUACAUUGAAAUUUUAAAAGUCAUGGUGGACAUGGGGGUAUACUGUUGUGGAUUUUAGGCUUUUCUCAGAUUGUGUUGCUACUCUUAUGGCACAUGUACACCUUACUUAACGGCAACGAUUAUUCACGUGGAGAUUCCUUUUCUUAGGUUAAAAGAUUAAUGUUGUGCCGAAAAGAGAAAACAAUGGACAAGGACAGGUUAUUCUCAAAGCUUAUUAGUUUAUUAUCUCCAAAACUCAGGAUAAUACACGUUUUUAAAGAAGAAAAAAAUCGACUAUCUAGUCUAAGAAAACCCUAAUUCUAAACCAGAUUGAUUGGGAUGUUCUUAGUCCUAAUUUGAAUUGGUUAAAUUCCUAUAAAUAAUUACACUCGGUUUACAUUAAGACACAUUUAAAGUUAUCAACCAUAAGAGCAAGUGCAACAAUGAUCCUUAGUUGGAGUCCUUAAAAAACAAAUUAUUAUAAAAUUAUAUGGGACCCAUGAUUUUUAGGUUUCUGUGCAAGUUGGUGCCCUUAGAGCAUGAUUAUCCAUAGAAACCCAUUUGUGUUUCUUAAGGAUUAUUUAAGUAUAUAAAUGUACUUUAGUGGACUUAAGAACUUUACUUAAGAAACUAUUCAAUUUUGUGCCUCCAAUGGUAGUUUCUUAAUUAAAGAUCCUUAAAAAAAAAUCCUAAUCACAACCUAACUCAAACAAACAUAUUCAAACCAAGCAAACAAUCCUAUCCUAACAUUUUGACAUGAAUAUAACAUAUUUAUUACCAAGCAAACAAUCCUAACCACAACCUAACUUAAACGUGUUUUCCCUAACCACAAACUAACUCAAACAAACAAGUUUUGGUCGAUUACCUCAACUCUCAAACUUGGUUUAGUCACUGUUGGAGAUCAUAGUCUGCUACCACGCCUUCCCUGCUGUCUUGAUUGCCAAAGCCUCCUCCUCUCAGAUUAACAUGUUCAAACAACAGUUAAAAAUAAACACUUUACACAAACCACACUCAAGAAGAACUCUAACAUAUUCAUUCUAAUUUUGUGACUAUAUACCAAAAAGACAACAUUUGAGAUCACUUCAAAAGGAUGCAACUUGCUUGCAAAUUCAGAAAACGCAUGCUUCCAAGUCUCAAAAUGCAAUACCUUUUUAGUCUUUGGCUAUGGCUUUGCCGUGUUUAAAGUCCUGAACCGAUCUCUACUGUUCGGAAUAAGAGCUAGAGCCAGCUGAUUCUCCUAGACCAGAGACGAAGCAAUAGAUUAGAAUACAGUUAAGAAAGCCAUGUAAGAAGUUAUCAGUCAUCAAAGUACCUGCAUUAUCCUCUAAAGGCCAUAUGUGCUUGGUCAGAUGUUUAUUCAUUUGAAACAUGUUGAUGGACUCUAGAGGGAACAGAGAUCGCAAUGAUUCUUGCUAAAUGCCGAAAACUAUCACUGGCAAUGGACAUCGUUCUUCUCAGUUGCUUCGACUGCGGUUUAUGUCUACUUAUACUCGAUCUAUUACUAUUACUAUUACGUAAAGACAAAGAUGUUUGGGUUUUUCCAGAAAAUCCAAUAUCUAAAUUGAUUAAAGUAGAAUCUGCUCUCUAGCCCAGAAAAUCCAAUAUCUAAAUUGAUUGAAAAAACGAACCACGAGCCAAACUCAAUCGGCUUCACCACACUAAAGCCCACCAUUGGAGAGAACGAGCUUUCUCGAUCUGAAACUCAGCCACGACGGAGAUGACGACCGGAGUUGCAGAGGGCGAGUCCGGUGCUACUGGCUUGAAAACGAACUCAAUCACCACCACGAGCCAAGCCUGAGUCGACAAGGAUGAAGAAGACCCAAGGCAGAGGUGAGACGCGACGGCGUGGAGGAGACGGAGAAACAAAGCAAAGAAAGAAAAGAAAAUUAAAAAA